rnacentral:misc_RNA from 1 species
CCCAAAAAGCAGAGAGAGAAGAAAAAUCUUAGCGUGUGAUGGAAGUGAAGCUGAGCCAGAAAAAUCAUCUCUCUCUUCCUCCUUCCAAUCCAAUAACGACAAAUUUCCUGUCUUUCCCUCACUGUUGCUUCUUGAAAUCCUGGAUUAACAGCAAGUCAGCCUUGAAGAAGCAUUUUAGAGGUCUUGCUGAGAGCUGUAGAUUUCAUAUCUUGGAGAUUUCAAAGCCAAGGGGUCAAAGCUCCAACAAGCACCACUUGCUUCCUGUGGUCAAAGAGUACAAUCCAAUCCUUGGUUUUUCUUAUAUAUAUAUAUAACUGCACAAUUGACCAAUAUGUAUAUGUGGAAUCUUGGGGUCAGAAUUCUGUUGAAGAAGUAUGUGCGCAUAUGGAAUAUGACUAAAUAGGCUCAUAAUUCUUAGAAUAUUUGCUUGGUGCAGGAAGUAUUCUGUCUAUUAUUCUCAAAACUGUUGAGCACCAAUGAAUUGUUUUUAUUUUUGAUUAGGCUAAAAUCUUAAACUAAUGUCUUGAAUUUUGAAGGUUUCUACUUUCGAAUUUGUAGUUUUUUUCCCCUUUUAAUUGGAUGUGAAUAUUCGAAAUAUGCACAAAUUUGUGAAAUUAAGAUCAUUAUAGUUGAUAGGUGGCAUGUUUUUGAACUUGUAAUCCUGAAAUCCUACAAUACUGGCUUAUUUGUUCUAAAAGUUUUGGUGGCAGGGAUGAAACACUGAAUUCAAUUUCAAGGCUUUAUGGUGUGUCUAUUCCUUCACUUGCAGCUACUAACGAAAAUGUAUUGGAUGCUGACCUUCUUCUUAAAGGCCAGCUCCUUAAUACUCCUGCUUUUGCCACAAGAAACAAUCAACUGGUGAGCAGAAUGUCAUGUUAAUUUGUAGACAUUAGUUUAGUUAAUCUUACCAAAAUAUUAUUCUGGCUAUCCUUUUGUGGCUGUGCUCUAUAAUUUAGUUCUGAUAGUUCAACCUUUUGUGAAUGUGUUAUUUAUCCCAUUAAUAUAUCAAUGAAUUAGUUGAGUUCAGUAAGCUUUUUGCCUCAUUCAAUUUUGUCUUGUUUUACCAUAAAAUCUCCGUUCUUUGUAGUUUUUUUUUCCAGUAAAUUAUUUCAACAUUCUAUUUUUUUUACAUUUUUUUUUAUGAUAUUACAGUUACAGAAGCUUUAUAAAUGGAUUUUAUAAUAACAAAAUUAAAUUUGAGUCGUCAGUAUGCUUCAUAUGCUGAUUCAUAUAGUUAACAAAAGUAAAUUAUGACAGAGUUGUUCAGUUCUGAAUGAGAAUGAAGUGCAUUUCUCAAGGCAUGCAUAUCAAUCCACAUGAACUGUCAGUGUUGAUGAACAUUUGGUAGAUUGACAAUAAAUAGUUGGACAAUGUGAAAAAAAUUUUCACCUGUAUAUAUUCUUUGAUGUAUUAGAAAGCUUGGCUCUAAAGAAAAAUGACCCAUGUAGCCAACACACUAGUUCUGGAUUGGAGAUUAGUUAAGUAGAUAUGUAGACUUCAGAUACAUUUUCAGGCAUAGUGGUUUGGAGCCAUAGUGUGAUUAACUCCCCUCUAUGUUGUAAUCUCUUCUUUGUUUCUUAUGACUUCUCAAUAUAAAUGUUAACCACAAAUCGUUUUAAAACCAUGAAAAAAUCUUAUUAAAGUUAUUUGAUGUCAAUAUUUGUUUAAGUAGGUAUAUUAUUUAAAUUUAUUGUUCUUGGCAUACAACUCAAAGUGAGCCUUGGCAUGUAGUGCAUUCUUCUUUUUGUCCCUUGCUGAGUUUUUUGUUUCAUGAUAUUACCAUAUUUUGAUGAAAGUUAUUAUACAGAAUAUAUUACCGGUGCAAUUUUAAUUUACAAAUCUGAUUCAUGUUUGCUUGAGCAUCAUAAAUUACAACUUUUAUUCUGACUUAUAGCUUUUUGAGGUGUUUAUCAUAUGUUCUUCAUUCAGUAUCAGAUAAAGAAAAGCAGGCUUCCUAGCUUUUACGAUCAAGAAAGACUUAAAGGUUCACAGAAUAUCUUGGGUGGGGUUUUGAAUAAAAAACCCUUCAUCAUGCUAUCUGCCCUUGGUUCGCCUCAUGUGAGAUAUUUUCUAAAACUUUUUUCCCCACAUUAUCUUUGCAAUAUCAUGUUAGUGUUAUGUUCCAAUAUCUUUUGUCUUGUAAGUUUAUCAAUAGUAGUGACCUCAACAAGCGUGUCCACUCAAUUAUCAGGCUAAAUCCACUGGUUAUUUUCUAGUUCUGGUUCCUCUUAUUGCAUUUUGCAUCAGAUGCAUAGUUGGUGCUUUUCACACUGGAUUUUUUAGAGAUAUGACACAAGAGACUUCGGAUAAAUCAAGGAGUCAUGAUGGGAACAGGGGAAUGCGAUGGAAAUAUGCCCUGAGUGACAUUGAGGACCCUAAUCUUGACUCUGAAUCAAGAAUAGAAUCCAAUAGUAUUUCUGAGGAUCAAGAACAAAUUUUAUUUGAAGAUAUGUCUCAUGCCUACAGCAAACUUGAACAUGAUUAUGAAAAAUUUCUAUCAGAAUGUGGAAUGAGCAAAUGGGGAUAUUGGCGGGGAGGCUUUCAUCGAUGAGACUAUGUUCUUCUGAAUGAAUUUGACUUCACAUAUCCCGGACAUCUGCAGGCAUUGAAUGCCUUUGUACAGUGUAAAUUUGGUUUCAUUUUCUUUUCUUCUCUCAUACGUAUAGAAAAGGGGGGUGUGGUUUAAAAUUGUGUUGAGGUUUAGGAUUAUUUUUAUGACUGUUGGGCUUUGUUUCUGUGUGCAUACUUCCGGUUUGUAUCUCCAGCAAGUUCUAGUAGGAAGAAGCAUUGUUAGUUCCAAGAACUCCAUCAAUAAUCUUCUUUUUCGUUUUCACUGUAAAAUUGUAUGUUAGAGCAAACAAGAAAUCUCUUAUACUUACGAAAUAAGCAGGUCCUCUCAAGAAAUUAAUUAUUCUGUAAGAUGUAGUCAUGGUUAUAUCUGAGCAUGUUAGAACUAGGUCUUCAACGUUAGGGUUGAUGGUAGAUAAUAAUAUGAAGAAAAUGCAAAGAGAUUUCAAGUCUUUCGAGUACGCUAAGCACAGCAUGUGCAGUGGAAUUGCGUGCUUAAAUUAGCUAGGCAAGUGCACGAUCUUCAACUGGAAUGAUAUCUUCAUUUUGAGCAAUAAAUUUAUUGUCAUUUUCCCCCAUGAUUUAUGUUCCCUCCCCAGAAUCCGUAAUUAUGGUUAAAAUGAUGCAUCUUUAAGGAAACAAAUCAUGCAGAACAAAUUCUUGGCAAAACAAAGAUUCUGAUACAGUCAAAAAAUAGCAAUGAAUAAAAUCACUCUCUCAACGGACCCGACGAGCUUUCUCUUCCUGUCCUAACCCAAGAGAUUUCUGUGCAUUUGCAAUGCCUUCUGGAUCUGCAUUACAACAAAUCACAACUUAUGAAUACAAGACCAAGGGCCCAAAAGAUUUUCCUUUACUGCUUAAUAUGAAAUUCUGGUUGUCAUUCAGCUAUAGGACCUUACAGUUUUGUGAAGGAUGGGAAGUUAAAUGCAUCAACAGAUAACCCAGGACAGAUAAGGAAGGAGUUAACAGCACCAAACACAACCACAUGAAAGGGCUAACUAACUAAACAAGCACAUUCACACAUUGUAAGAACUGGCUCCUACGAUUCCUGCUAGCGCCCAUGUUUCAGAGCCAGGGGAAGUGGUCCUAUUAAAUAGGUUGAACAAUAAUUUAAGGAUAACCAGUUGAAGCCCUGAAGGCACACGUGUGGUCCCGAUGUACAUAGUAUUUUGGAAGUAGACUGAUUAGUCCAAGGUCAAGGCAGCUCUGGAAUUACUUCAAAUUCAGUGCACUGUCCAAACUUCUAUUUUCCUGCCCUACUUCAAGCAGCAACUCACUUAAUGAAAGAGAUCAGUACUUCAAAUUUUGAUAAAAUACUUUGCAAAAUAAAGUUUCAAAAGUGAUGCAUAAUCAAAACAAUUGAACAGAAUUUAAAGAUCGUGAAAAGAUCUUUUUUUUUGCCAGAAAAAAACGUAUUCAAAGACACAAGUAUGCAAUUGUACUCAAAAUUGUAGCAAAAGCAUUCAUGAAAGAAGAACGAAUAUCUUAGUACUUCUGUAUUUAAGAGACCAAAGACUCAUGACAAUGGAUUACAAUACAAGGACUAGCAAAGCUAAUGGAUAUGAUCUGAGUCACACAGCUUUUGUUUAGAUUAUUGAAGAAAUAGAGAAGAAGAAUUUGUGCAAUAAUUAGCUUGAUUAUGCCGUCAACCUCUUGGGGAUUACAGGCACAAACCUUCCUAAUUAAUGUCUUCCUAUUCUAAGGUAUAGUUACAGCCUAAUCUAUUUACAGAUUCUUAACAAUUAUGAAAACAUCUUAGAUGCCAUAACUUCUCAUAUAGAAACAAACAAUUUGUUAACGCUGAUAUAAAAGACAAUGGCAGCAAUAAUGUUAUUUUUAUAAAAUUUUAAAGACAUUGGCCAAAAGGUGAAUCUCUAUGAUCAUGAAACAAAUACUAAGAAUUCGAGGAUCCCCAAAAAAACAUGGGGAUUUGCAGAAGACUCAAAUUCAUGUAUGGAAAAGAAAAGAAAAAGUAGUCAGCUCUAUAAUGGAUAUAUAUAUGUCUGUAAUCCUCCCAGCUAGGAACUAAAAGCAAGAUGCAAGAAAAUAAAAUGAAUAAUCACCAAAGAAUUGAGUAAAGAUGCGGGUGAAGAAGCUCAAGUUGCGAGAAACGUUGUAUGCCAUAGCAGGUGGAAGAGGCUUCACGACGGUGUCAAUGCUAAACACUCUCUGAAGAAACUGAAAAUUUAUAUUAAAAAGCACCAACGCUGGUCAAUCAGACACCCAACUGAUGUCCAACACAAAAAAGGCAAAUAAUUAGGGAGCAUAGGAGAAACCUGAAAAUUACGCUGGAAGCUGUAGCGGAGCUCGGGGUCGAGCUCGAGGGGAUCGUCGCCUUCAUCGUCGGAGCUGCUCUUGUUGUUCUUCUUGCGAGGGACGUGCAUAGUAGGGGUGGAGCCGGGCUGAUUGGUGACUUUGAGCUUGGCGUCUUUGAAUUUGUCAGCUUCGUCGUCGAGGUCGCCUCUCCAUGGCGCUUUAGAUAGCAAUUCUCUCUUCCCCUUUGCCAUUUUGCAGGUGUUUCUGCGGCUGCUCCGCCUCGCUAUGUGAAUUGCGGACUACCGUCCAAGAAGAGAGUGAAAGAUAAGGAUCGGCCUUGGAGACGUCUUUGACUGCUUGGAUGCGCUUAUUUCGGUUCUGGCGGUGUGGGGAUUAAAGGAGCAAAAGGGUAAUUUGGAAAAUUU